rnacentral:lncRNA from 1 species
UGGGUGCGAUCACAAUAACUAAAUGGAAAUUGUGGAAUAUUCUAGCACAAUACACAUUGCAUAAAUCUUUUUGUCAUUUGAUAACUCAUUUUUUUUUUGGUCGAAAUAACUCAUUCUUCAUUGCAUGGAAUAUGUGUACUCUCUUGGAUCUAUUACUCAUACAUCAUUGGAAUCACAUCAAACAAAUGGCAUCCGUUUUUAACGCACUUCCAUGCAUAUAUUUUCAAUUGACUUAUUGGACAAUCAUUAUCGGUUUUACAUUCAAUAAUAUAUGC